rnacentral:rRNA from 1 species
GACGAACGCUGGCGGCAGGCCUAACACAUGCAAGUCGAGCGGAGGGGGGGAGGGGUAAGUAAUGCCAAGGAAUCUGCAAGGGCGUGGUGGAUAAGGUCAAGAAACGGACGCGAAUACUACAUACUAUCAGAUUAGCAUAGGUCGGAUUAGCUAGAUGGAGGGGGAAGGGCCUACCAAGGCGACGAUCCGUAGCUGGUCUGAGAGGAUGAGCAGCCACACUGGAACUGAGACACGGUCCAGACUCCUACGGGAGGCAGCAGUGGGGAAUAUUGGACAAUGGGCGAAAGCCUGAUCCAGCCAUGCCGCGUGUGUGAAGAAGGUCUUCGGAUUGUAAAGCACUUUAAGUUGGGAGGCGUUACCAACAGAAUAAGCACCGGCUAACUUCGUGCCAGCAGCCGCGGUAAUAC